rnacentral:rRNA from 1 species
UACGGAGGGUGCGAGCGUUGUCCGGAAUCAUUGGGCGUAAAGGGCGCGUAGGUGGCGGGACAAGCGUGCGGUGAAAGCCUGGGGCUCAACCCCGGGUCGGCCGUGCGAACUGUUUUGCUUGAGCACUGUAGAGGCAGGCGGAAUUCCUGGUGUAGCGGUGAAAUGCGCAGAUAUCAGGAGGAACACCGGUGGCGAAGGCGGGUCUCUGGGCCGUAACUGACGCUGAGGAGCGAAAGCGUGGGGAGCGAACAGG